AACUCUCCUCCUGGUUGUGAUAUCGUUCGAAACCGGAGAAUGAACAUAUCUUUAGGAUGUACCGUUCUGCACUUUGUAUGCGCUCUAGUUAAGCAGUUUGGUAGGACCAGACAUGAAUGAAUCGUCCAUUAAUGCUGUUUUAAAUAAUAGGCCCUCAUGGUCUGUCCUUUAGAAGGGCAAGAUAUGGCAAGAUUUUCGGUGUAUUUGGAAGAGUACGCACCUGCAAAAUAUUUUGAAGCAGAGCCAAGGACAAGAUCUUCUCAGAACUGUAUGGAGGAAUAUGACGACAAUUUUGAAGAAGGGCAUUAGAUUUUCCUAACCUUAAUCACCUUUUCCCCCUUUUUAUAGUUCCUUAUUUACCUUUCUAUGGUAUUAGAAAUAAUUUCAAUAAUAAAUAUUGGUUUUGAGAUUAUUAUUAUUAUUAUUCUAAUUUUAUAUAAACUAUAUGCUUAUAUUUUGUUACACAUAUUUGUAUACGUAAAUGAAUAAUCAAAAUAUAAUUAAUACUAAAUAUA